UUUCAUUUUCAUUUCUUGGUUUACUUUCCCACUAAGCCACAUUGAUUUCAAUUUGUUUUUGUUUUUUUAUAUUAAUCAGUGGUACAUACUGAGAAGUGUACCUUUCUAAUGUUUGGUUUUGAAGAAAUUCCAUUUAUCUCCAGUGUUUAUGCCAGUCAAUAUGUUGUAAAAUUGCCCUAAUCUUAUUGAAAUUGGCCUUUUUAAAAUGGUAUGCAUUAGUAUACCCCAUGUGCAUUUCAAGACACCAUAU